rnacentral:tRNA from 1 species
GGCAGGCUGGCGCAAUGGUAGCGCGCAAGUUUCCGGUACUUGAGGUUGCGUGUUCGAGUCACGCGUUUGUCG